rnacentral:tRNA from 1 species
AAGGGUAUAGCUCAGUGGUAGAGUGCAUGCCUAGCAUGCACAAGGUCCUGGGUUCAAUCCCCAGCACCUCCA